CACUCGAAGAAGUCAAGGUUACAAAAGCUAACUGGAUUGAAGACACAUCCACGAGUCAAGUCAAGUCAGCCACUUGUCGAGCCUCUGUCAGUGUUGCCUGUGCUUGUGCUAGUCUCUAGCCUACUCUCUUUCACUUCCACUUGUACUGAGCCAGUGUACUGUCGACGCGAUUGCGUCCAAAAAACCAUUGUAUUUACUGAUAGGCGUGAAUCUUCUUUAUCACCGAGUGCAGUAUUAUUUUUUCAUCAUCUCACAACUAUAGGCCUACAUUUCAACAUGCCCAACUGUCCGAAGUGCGACAAACCCUGUUUACUUUGCUGAGAGAAAAACAUCAUUGGGGAAGGAUUGGCAUGGACCUUGUUUGAGAUGUGAAAAAUGUAACAAAACCCUCGAACCUGGAAGGCAUUCUGAACAUGACGGAAAACCAUACUGCAACCAGCCAUGUUACGCAGCUCUGUACGGACCUGGAGGUUUUGGACGAGGUGGAGCUGAAAGUUACAUCUACAAGUGAAAUUGAAGUCUUUUGAAAUUACCAAAACCAUUCAUCUUUAUCAGUAUUUAUUCACUCACAUCAUGAUAUAAAAUAUAUUAUUUUUUAUUACAAGUUUUAAA